CACCUUUUGACAUGCCUGGACCGCCAGAGAGAUCUGGCUUUCCCUUCGGGGACUAGGACACAGGUGCUGCAUGGCUGUCGUCAGCUCGUGUCGUGAGAUGUUGGGUUAAGUCCCGCAACGAGCGCAACCCUCGCCAUUAGUUGCCAUCAUUUAGUUGGGAACUCUAAUGGGACUGCCGGUGCUAAGCCGGAGGAAGGUGGGGAUGACGUCAAGUCCUCAUGGCCCUUACAGGGUGGGCUACACACGUGCUACAAUGGCGACUACAGAGGGUUAAUCCUUAAAAGUCGUCUCAGUUCGGAUUGUCCUCUGCAACUCGAGGGCAUGAAGUUGGAAUCGCUAGUAAUCGCGGAUCAGCAUGCCGCGGUGAAUACGUUCC
rnacentral:rRNA from 1 species